CCCUUAGAUGUUCUGGGCUGCACGCGCGCUACACUGGUGCGUUCAGCGAGUUUAGCACCUUAACAGAUAUGUUUGGGUAAUCUUCUGAAAACGCACCGUGAUGGGGAUCGAUUAUUGUAAUUAUUAAUCGUCAACGGGGAAUUCCUAGUAAGUGUGAAUCAUCAGUUCGCGCUGAUUACGUCCCUGCCCUUUGUACACACCGCCCGUCGCUGCUACCGAUUGAGUGGUCCGGUGAAUUAUUCGGACCGGUGGACUGUGGGGAAACCCGCGGCCUGCUGGGAAGUCUUGUGAACCUUAUCACUUAGAGGAAGCAGAAGUCGUAACA
rnacentral:rRNA from 1 species